rnacentral:pre_miRNA from 1 species
AACUUGGAUGUGCCUGGCUCCCUGUAUGCCACACACUUUCACCAAUCCGCGAGUUCUUUGAUUGGCUGAUCAGUGGGUGGCGUGCGAGGAGCCAAGCAUACCACAUUAUA